UUCGAUCACUCCCGUGACGUGGC
rnacentral:misc_RNA from 1 species